CACCUCCGCAGCCCACCGCCACCACCCCUUCGCCCUCCCGGGCGGCCGCACCGAAGAGCUGCAACCGUCGCCUCGCACAGGCUGCCGGCAUUGUCCUCCCGGUCCGCCGCCAAGCCUGCCGCUGCCGCCGCGGACUGCUGCGGGGCCCCGGACCCGCGCCCCAGGGACGCGCCGCCGCCUUCAGGGUCCCGGCCCCCGGCUCCUGGUCCCUGGCCCCCCGUUUGGUGAUUUCUGAGCCCUGCGCUCCCUAGCCGCUCUCCUAGGUUUUUCCUGCAAGGCUGAGGAAGAGGAGAAGUCGCCUAGCCGCCAAACCCAGGCUUCCUCCGGCGCUCAGCCCCGACGGGGCCGCGGCAGGCGCGGCGAGAGCGCCGACGGAGCCAUGAGAGAGUACAAAGUGGUGGUGCUGGGCUCGGGCGGCGUGGGCAAGUCCGCGCUCACCGUGCAGUUCGUGACGGGCUCCUUCAUCGAGAAGUACGACCCCACCAUCGAGGACUUCUACCGCAAGGAGAUUGAAGUGGACUCGUCGCCGUCGGUGCUGGAGAUCCUGGACACGGCGGGCACCGAGCAGUUCGCGUCCAUGCGGGACCUGUACAUCAAGAACGGCCAGGGCUUCAUCCUCGUCUAUAGCCUCGUCAACCAGCAGAGCUUCCAGGACAUCAAGCCCAUGCGGGACCAGAUCAUCCGCGUGAAGCGGUACGAGCGUGUACCCAUGAUCCUGGUGGGUAACAAGGUGGACCUGGAGGGCGAGCGAGAGGUCUCGUACGGCGAGGGCAAGGCCCUGGCCGAGGAGUGGAGCUGCCCCUUCAUGGAGACGUCGGCCAAAAACAAAGCCUCGGUGGACGAGCUGUUCGCAGAGAUCGUGCGGCAGAUGAACUACGCGGCGCAGCCCAACGGCGACGAGGGCUGCUGCUCGGCCUGCGUGAUCCUCUGAGGCGCCCGCGGCUGCCGCGCGCUGGCCGCGCUCCGCGCACAAAAGCCAAACGCACCCGACUCUCUAAAUGUGAUUUCUCUUCUUGCUUUGAGAUUGGAGACGACUUUGCAUUGGCCGGGGUGUCCCGGGAGCCCGGCUGGCCUGUGCGGCCGGCGUCCCCUGCCUCCGCCCCGUGUCCGAAGGGGUGUCCCGUCCUCACCAUCCGACACCCGGUGGAAAUGUGGCUCUUGGAAGCAUGAGUAGCUGGAAAUUAAGAUGGGGUUCCUUUUCUGCCAGCUUGGAAGGGCAACCCUGUGACUGAUUGUGAUUUUAAGGAUGUCUAUGCAAAGUUGGAUUCUUGUUACAGUGUAUCCAAUCUGAAGUAUGCACAUCUGAACUGGGACUGUAAACACUGAUGCCAAUACAGUGUGGGGUGCCAGAAAGUGUCUGCUGAUAUUUGUGGAAAAAAAAAAUCUAUUUUGUUUACCUACUGUAUCAAAGGGGAGUCUGGGGGAGAACGGUAGUAUUUUUUUUUUUUUAAUCAGCUGUGAAAAAAAAAUGUUACAGAUCUGCACAUUUUUGUGUGUACUAUUGUGUGCCUGUGUGUGUGUGUGGUUUUUCUGGGUUUUUUUUCUUUUUUUUUUUUUUGAGUUUAGCUUUUUGUUGUUUUUGGUUGGCAGUGACAGGUUUUGAUGACUAGCUCUUUAAAAUACAGUACAAAGACUUCAAAAAUGUGAUUCAGGGCCCCCAGCACCCCUGUGUCUGCAGAGUGCCUUCAAAACUCAGCUGUUCAGCCGGUGCCAACCUGUGAACUUCCCACCAUAUCCCAGAAUCUGCUAUUCCCCAAACCACUUCCUAGUUUCCUUUCUGUAAUCUUCCUGAAGGAGCCAGGACAAUAGGGCCUGUUGUUUGGUGAAUUUCUUGAUUAUUUCCAGCCUUUAAAAUGUAGUUUCCAUGUCUUGCAAUGGGCUUCCCCCUCCCUUCUUUCUUUCUUUUUUAUUUUGCUUCAUUUUGUUCAAAUGUUCAGGUAUUUAGCUCCCCUUUUUAUAUUAUUUUUUUUUAAAUUUUUGGUUAUCUGUUCUAGGGUGUUCCUCCAGAAGCAAAGAGCAAAAUUUUAUUGUUGUGAUGUACCAAGAGAAUUCUAACUAACUGUAAUUUUUAAUUCCAGACACGUGUUUAAUCAUUGUCUCUUCAUUUUAAGACUUUUAAUACAAAUGUCAUUUUUAAAGAAACAAACCUAAAACUAUCGUUUGUGUUUCUGUGUUUCAUAUUCAGUGAUUUAAUACAAUAUCAUGGCUGAGGUGGAUGGGGGCAGGUGCUUGAUGCCCGCAACAGAAAAACCUCAGUGACAAGUUGGGUGACAUUACUUCCAACUCCUUAAAUAUGGAAAAAAAAUCAUAAAGGUCUAGGAAGCCCUGGGGGUAUGGCCACUAUCACUUAACUACAAGUUACGAAGGAUAUUGAAUCUGUUCUGCUGACAGGGAGUAGUUUACCUCACUGUGGGUAGAGAAGGGUAGAAACCAACUGCUAAUACUGCCUUAGAUUUGGUGAAGUUGCCAAUCUCCUGACCAGGCAGGGAAGAGCUUUUAACUUUUCUUUUUCUUUCUUUUUUUUCCCCCCCAGUGUUUUGUUCUGUUUAAUUACAUCACAUAUCAAGUCAAAAACAUGUUUGAAGAUGAUUUUCAGUCCUGAAGUCAUACCCAGUAGUGUUUUCUGCAGUACAUUUGUAUGGGUUGCAGAAUCUUAAUACUAGAGGUUUUGAUUUGGAAAUAGAUAUUAGAAAGAAAAAACGAAGAUGAACCCCUAACUCCCAUUAAGCUGCAAUUUGUGGACCAUUUUGACCUCAUGAAAUUUUCCUUCCAACAGUAGGAGGCAGUGUGAGCUGUUGCUGCUUAUUUUAUUUCAGUUAAGGGCCUCUUUACUAGUAUAAUCUCUGUAGAAUAAAAGAAAGUAUAUGACUGUACAUCAAGAGUGUACGUGAUACCCUCAGCUGUGUGAAGUGUAGGUGAAGUCUUCUGUUGGGGAAGCCAAAAGAAGUUACAGGCCACAGGCAUCUUUAAAGCUAUUAACAUCUUGCCUUAAAAUGGGUCCUUAGCCCAGGUGACCUGCCCCUCUUCCAGCAUGGAGGAGGAAUAGAGAAUUGGCCUGUGAUGGUCCUAUAGCCAUUUUUUUUCAUUCUUGAGCUCACAUAAGUUUAGAAUCACACAGUUGAAAGGCAGUAUGUGUAUGAUAAAUACAGAAAUUAAUAGAAAUAAGUUUUUGUCUUUGCAAAUAUUAAGUCUUGCAUUUGAGUAAAUUUAGUUUUUCAGUAUAUAUAAAGUGUUGAAAAUUCUGAAGACUUAUACCAAGUACUAUGUGAAGGAUUUUUUUAAAAAGCAUUUGGUGACUGUUUCUUACGGCUUUGUUU